rnacentral:rRNA from 1 species
GGGGGAUAUUGCACAAUGGAGGAAACUCUGAUGCAGCAACGCCGCGUGAGGGAAGAAGGUCUUCGGAUUGUAAACCUUUGUCCUUGGUGACGAAACAAAUGACGGUAGCCAAGGAGGAAGCUCCGGCUAACUACGUGCCAGCAGCCGCGGAAAUACGUAGGGAGCAAGCGUUGUCCGGAUUUACUGGGUGUAAAGGGUGCGUAGGCGGCUCUGCAAGUCAGGCGUGAAAACUAUGGGCUUAACCCAUAGACUGCGUUUGAAACUGUGGGGCUUGAGUGAAGUAGACGUAGGCGGAAUUCCCGGGGUAGCGGUGAGAUGCGUAGUGAUCGGGAGGAACACCAGUGGCGAAGGCGGCCUACUGGGCUUUAACUGACGCUGAAGCACGAAAGCAUGGGUAGCAAAC